rnacentral:rRNA from 1 species
GACAUCCAGCGAACUUUCCAGAGAUGGAUUGGUGCCUUCGGGAACGCUGAGACAGGUGCUGCAUGGCUGUCGUCAGCUCGUGUUGUGAAAUGUUGGGUUAAGUCCCGCAACGAGCGCAACCCUUAUCCUUUGUUGCCAGCGAUUCGGUCGGGAACUCAAAGGAGACUGCCGGUGAUAAACCGGAGGAAGGUGGGGAUGACGUCAAGUCAUCAUGGCCCUUACGAGUAGGGCUACACACGUGCUACAAUGGCGCAUACAAAGAGAAGCGACCUCGCGAGAGCAAGCGGACCUCAUAAAGUGCGUCGUAGUCCGGAUCGGAGUCUGCAACUCGACUCCGUGAAGUCGGAAUCGCUAGUAAUUGUGGAUCAGAAUGCCACGGUGAAUACGUUCCCGGGCCUUGUACACACCGCCCGUCACACCAUGGGAGUGGGUUGCAAAAGAAGUAGGUAGCUUAACCUUCGGGAGGGCGCUUACCACUUUGUGAUUCAUGACUGGGGUGAAGUCGUAACAAGGUAGGCGUAGCGAG